UAUUUUUAUUUUUUCUAAUAAAUUUUAAAUAUAUUUGUAAGAGCAUGUUUGUUCUCCCCUCCCCCUUCAUCUCUGUAAACGAUUUGAAAAGAAAAAACGGAUUUGAAUGCUGAUACUGGAUGGGAGAGAAGUCACGAUUCCCGAAGAGAACUGAUGAGUUUAUUUUCUUGAUCUCAAGUUUGCUUUCAUUAAAGCAAGCCCAUUAGACCAGGCCCUGGGCCUCAGAAGAGCGAUAAACAUAGAUCGGUGCUAGGGUUCGGACAACGGAGCCACCGGAGGGAUGGCUGCUGCUUUUGUCAAUCGGACGCUAUGGCCACCACAAUCACCUACGCAGCUGAAACUAUGGCCGAGAAGGCUAUUGUCUGAAUCUGGCUGCGAGAUUCUUGAAAGCCUCUGGUAGUGGUGGUCUGACUCCUGAUGGAAUCAAAUCCUUGUCAUCAUCAAUGAGCAUUCAAGGCUACCAGCAGAGUCGCCAACUUGCUUUCUGCACGAUUGGAGACCCUUCAUGGACCGCCAUACGAACAGGUUAUUCCUACACUAACCUCGUCAAGAAAGAUAGUCUAAAAUGCUAGAUGAUGUACACUAGCAUUUGGUGAUAUAAGUUGCUCGUCUUUUGAUAGUAAUUUGUCUAAAAUGCUAGAUGAUGUACACUAGCAUUUGGUGAUAUAAGUUGCUCGUCUUUUGAUAGUAAUUGCUGGCAUUUUGAUAGUGGUUCCUCUAUCCAUGCGACAAAUGAUAGAACAUUGUUUACAAGGUUUGAGGAAUAUGAUGAUGGUUAUGGUCUAUGUUAAUUUUGGUGAUGGCAGUCAAUAUAGAAUAGAUGGCAAAGGUGAAAUCAAAUUUCCAGGUGUUGGUGAGUUGAAAAAUGUUCAUGUGUUGAGGGUGUUAGGAUAUGUGUGCCCUAGCAUAGUAAAUUCUAAUUUUGGAUUGUAAAAGUCAUGGUUUUUUAUCUAGAUAUUAUUAUUAAAGCAUUAUACAAUUGGUGAAUGGAAUGUAUUAUUUUUCGAUUCAUUAUGGAAUUGAUUGUGUCCACUUGAUUACAAAAUAUAUUUAUAUGUAUGUAAUGGCAAUUAAUACUAUGUUAUAAAUUAGUAAUCACAAAUGGUUUAAAGUCGGUAAUUAUGGAUGGACAUUUAAUUAGUUAAGACUUAAACCGAGUCCACGAUAGAUUGAGAUAUAUUGCGAGAGCUGUCGUAUGCAAUUGCUCUCUAUCACAGUCAUGGCUUUUGACUAACAAGCAUGAGAGAAGUAUAGACUCUUUUAUUAAUUAAUAAUUACUUUGAUUUGUUCGGCGGAUACCUCGAGAUCCUUAGAUCGACACUUUGGGUAGUUAUGUAAUUAAUAAUUAGAGGUCUAUAUUCUCAAUAUUUGCAUCAGUGUUAUUUGUAUUUAUUUUGUUUUGAUUAUGGUUGAUCACAAAUUAAAUUCGAAGGCCUUCAUAUGUUUUAGACAAAUGUUUUCUAUAUAUAUUUAUUUAAUAAAUUAUUAUUAUUUUUUGUCAAAUAAAUAUUUUUUUGUGAUCGAGCCGGAAAUAAUCAAAGGUAAAAAAAUAAUUAUAUUAAUUAUGUUGUCGGAUUGAUGGCUUUAAUUAUCCGAUAAAUAAUUAAGCAUAGAGGGGUCAAAGUGCAACAUUGACUUAGAGGUUAUUUACUAUUUAAUUGGAGUGCAAUUAAUUUCUUUUAGUGGAGUAGAAAUUAAUUUAUAAAUUAAUUGAAUUGCGUCCAUGGUUUAAUGGACCGGACCAAUUAUUAAUUUAUAGGAGCCAAGAAAAUAGUAAGCCCAAAAGGAUUCUCACCAAUAGCCCAAGUUGAUAUUGGAGUCAUGUUAGAAUUGAGAAAGUUGAAUUAGAGAUGGAGAAUGAUUUAUUGUUUCCUUAUUCUUAUUUUUAUUUUGCCUAUAUAUACAUGAGUUCAUGUAUAUUUUAGGGGUGACUUUUAGAACAAGAAAAAAGAAUACACUUUCUCUCUCUAGAUUUUAGGGUUUUGUUUUCUCUUCUAAAGGAGGCCACCACAAGCCUAGAUUCCAAGGUCAUUCAUCAAGGCGUAUUGGUGAUUCCUAAAGGGAAGAUAAUAAUCAAGAAGAAGGAGAAAGGAUCUUGCUAAAGGGAUCUACAAUAAGUGAGAACAUUCACUUUAGAGGAAAGUUCAAAAGGUUUACUCAGACCUUUGAUCCAUAUCCACUGUUUUUUAUGGUACCUGCUGGCUUCUUGGUUGCUGAGGGCAAAAAAGAGGUGUCCCUUGUCAAGCUUACCACUGCUACAAUGGAGGAGCAAGAGCGGGAGGUGGAACCAAAGGACGACAAUGGUACUACUACUAAUGAUGAUUACUAUGACUUGUUGAGUUUUGAAGGGAAGAAAUUAGUAUUGAGGACGAAGAUCAAGAAGAGUGAUCUUUGUCUUCCAUGUGAAGGAGGGGACCUCCUCUCAUCAGAGGAUACCAUCUGCUUUGGUUCCUCUCGUGGUUGGUUGCUUGGUUCCUCUGGUGUUAUGGAAAGGGAGAAAUGAUUGGUGUUUCAACAGUAAGCAAUGGUCUCCUCAAGACAUUAUUGAUCGUGCCUUGUUCAAUUUUCAUGAGUUCUGGGCAGUUCAUUAUCGGGAGCACCCCUUCCACAGACCCGAGUCUUUCUCUAUCAAAAGGAGUUCCAAAUGGCAGCCCUCUAUGUGAUGAUGCAAAAAUUGAAGCUGGAACCUGAGACAGUUGAAAUUCUUUAGAAGCUGAUAAUUAGGAUACGGGUUUGGGAUGCUGACUCAUAGUUGGUCCUGAUCACGAAAUCUUGAUGGUAUUUAGAUGUAAUCAGUUUUUAGGUUAUUCCACAUCCUUUUGAGAAAAUCUUCUAUACUUUUCAAUGAUGCUUCCAAAAAUAAUUGAGUUUAAGAGAAACAGUUGAAGGGAUUGAAGUAAGUGUCUAGUAAAAAGAAAACAAAAAAGUUACUUUCUUAUUUUGUUGAUGCCAGUUUCUAUGGGUUCUAAUGAUGAGUUUUGUUUUUCUUAAGAAACUGUUGGGUGUAUAAAUGACAUUUCUUGUAGGAACUGCUAUUUCUUGUAGGAACUGCUAUAAUAUAUUUUCCUUCUUAGAAA